CCUACGGGAGGCAGCAGUGAGGAAUAUUGGUCAAUGGCCGGAAGGCUGAACCAGCCAUGCCGCGUGAAGGGCAGGGCCCUAGGGGCGUUAAACUUCUUUUGUGCGGGAGCAAGAAUGGGCACGUGUGGCCAGACGAGAGUACCGUACGAAUAAGCAGCGGCUAACUCCGGGCCAGCAGCCGCGGUAAGACGGGGGAUGCAAGCGUUAUCCGGAUUUCUGGGGUUUAAAGGGUGCGUAGGCUGUGAGGUAAGUCAGCGGUGAAAUGCCCCCGCUCAACGGGGUGAAGUGCCAUUGAUACUGCCUUGCUGGAUUGCGGAUGCCGUGGGAGGCAUGUGUGUUGUAGCGGUGACAUGCAUCGAUCUCACAC
rnacentral:rRNA from 1 species